CUCUUCCUCGUUUGACACCCGCCGCAUCCACACAGCGUUACUUGUUAGACACUGCAGCGCAAAACCCCAAUCUGUCGACAGGGCAGCAGAGGCGCGGUCUCGCCGUGCCCGCUACUGCCUCGCAGGGAGGUUACGAGGUCACGAGCGUAUUGGACGGUGGUGCGGCAGAUCCGGCAAUGGGGGAGGUGAUCCUUUCGGAUCUUUUCACCAAUGUCCUAAUCCCGGUGGCAGCCGUCGUCAGGAUCACGUUCGCGGUCAUGGUCUCCAAGGUGCGAUUAUCGCUGGCGGAGGCUGACGCGGAGGGCACGGGCAAGAAUGGGUACUCCGAGUACUUGAUCGACGAGGAGGAGGGGCUCAAUGAUCACAACGUGGUCGUCAAGUGUGCCGAGAUCCAGAGAGCCAUUUCAGAAGGAGCUACUUCUUUCCUUUUCACUGAAUACCAGUAUGUUGGAAUCUUUAUGUCUAUUUUUGCCAUAAUGAUCUUCCUCUUCCUUGGCUCCGUUAAGGGCUUCAACACAAAGAGCCAACCCUGCACUUACAGCAAGGACAAGACUUGCAAGCCAGCCCUUGCCAAUGCCAUCUUUAGCACAUUGUCUUUCUUACUUAGAGGUAUCACCUCUGUGGUAUCUGGAUUCCUUAGCAUGAAGAUUGCGACAUAUGCUAAUGCCAGGACAACUCUUGAGGCAAGAAAGGUGUUGGGAAGGCUUUCAUCACUACAUUCUGAUCAGGCGCUGUCAUGGGUUUUUUGCUAGCCGCUAAUGGACUUUUGGUUCUCUUUAUUUCUAUUAACUUAUUCAAAUUGUAUUAUGGUGAUGACUGGGGAAGGCCUUUUUGAGGCUAUCACAAGCUAUGGCCUUGGUGGGUCUUCCAUGGCUCUCUUUGGUAGGGUUGGUGCGGUAUCUAUACCAAAUCUGCUGAUGUUGGGGCUGAUCUGGUUGGGAAGGUCGAGAGGAACAUUCCCGAGGAUGAUCCAAGGAACCUAGCUGUUAUUGCCAACAAUGUCGGUGACAUUGUUGGAAUGGGGUCAGACCUCUUUGGCUUUUAUGUUGAAUCUUUAUGUGCAGCUCUAGUUGUUGCUUCAAUAUCUUCCUUUGGAAUUAACCAUGAUUUGACAGCAAUUGUGUGCCCUCGGACAAGCCACGAUACUGAUCUUUCAAGUUGUAUUCCACUGAGUUAGGGUUUAAAGAGUUUCAUCAAGAUAGCUAGAGUUAUUUUGCUCAAAAUGCAGAAAUUUGAUGCAUACUACUAUCCUGAGUACUGGCUUUAGGCUCCUUUGGAACACCAUUAAAGGUUUUCUUGACCCAAAAACAACUUCAAAGAUACAUCCAACUUCCAAAUUUCUUGAGUGACUUAUGCACUUGCUCUAGUAAAGGUGGAUGUUUGAAUUUUAACAAAGGGUCAUGGAAUAAUCCCAACAUUAUGGAGAAAAAAGAUUUGGGACGAGAAGUUUUUGAAUGAAUGCAUAAAAGAAAGCAAGGUACCCAAUUUAUUGUCAACAAAUUGGUAUUCGUAAAGAAAAGCUUAUCGAGGAAGGUAGGAAAAUUGAAGAAAAACUCAAGAAGAUGGUUCCUAAGAUGAUUCAAGAGGUGGAAUAUAUAAUCAUUCAUAUCCAGAAGGAUUUGGUCCCCAUGAGCGUUGUGAUAGAUGAAAUACAUAUUAAAUUAUUAUACUUGGAUUUAAAAAUUUAUCAGUAUCUUACAAUUUGAUUAUAGUGAAAUUUAUUUAGAUGAUGUGAAUAUUUAUUAUCUCAAUAUUAAUUGUAUUAUACUUUUGGAUUAGAAAUUAGUUAUUUUAAAUAUUUUAAA